rnacentral:rRNA from 1 species
AGAACGAACGCUGGCGGCAGGCCUCAAACAUGCAAGUCUAGGGGGGUAGCAAUACCCACCGGCGGACGGGUGCGUAACACGUGGGAAUAUACCUUUCGGUACGGAACAACUGCGGGAAACUGCAGCUAAUACCGUAUACGUCCUAACGGAGAAAGAUUUAUCGCCGAAGGAUUAGCCCGCGUCCGAUUAGCUAGUUGGUGAGGUAAUGGCUCACCAAGGCUCCGAUCGGUAGCUGUUCUGAGAGGAAGAUCAGCCACACUGGGACUGAGACACGGCCCAGACUCCUACGGGAGGCAGCAGUUGGGAAUCUUGGACAAUGGGGAAACCCUGAUCCAGCCAUGCCGCGUGAGUGAUGAAGGCCUUCGGGUUGUAAAACUCUUUCGACGGGGACGAUAAUGACGGUACCCGUAGAGAAGCUCCGGCUAACUUCGUGCCAGCAGCCGC